rfam:Triticum aestivum genome assembly, contig: Triticum_aestivum_CS42_TGACv1_scaffold_113753_2AS
CAACUACUCCCUCUGUCCCAAAUUUCUUGUCUUAGAUUUGUCUAGAUAUGGAUGUAUCUAAUACUAGAAUGUGACUUGAUACAUCUGUAUCUAGACAAAUCUAAGACAAGAAUUUUGGGACAGAGGGAGUACUUU